UAUCAUACAUAAGUUGGCUUCCUUUUCUCUGCCAUUGUUUUUUCACUGACUACUACAAUUUUGAUAAAGACAUUAUUUGGUUACAAUUGUUCACUGCAUUUUAAAGAAUAAAUGACUACUCAAAAACUAGGGCAUGGUUAGAUCUCACAAAUUCAUUCUGUAUUUACUUGUGAAUAUGUUAAAGGCCACCCAUAUCCACCUCAAAGUUUCACAAGAAGUAAGGAACAAACAAAAGGUUGGGACACAAAACCACCCUACUUUUAUUGUUAACAAGAACUCACAUGAGACUUGUGUAUGCCAGCUUAUGGAGAACAACCAUAAACUUCCUUUUUAACCAGAAACUUAAUUCAUUUAAUUAGAUAAAAUAUCUUUUAACAAAAAAGUUGACAAAAAGGCCCAAGUGAUCCAACACUCUCACCCAGUCUAAUAGCCCAUUUAUCGUUACUACAUAUCCAAAAGUAAGACCAAUAGCCACGUGGAUCAUCAGUUUGACUCCAGGUCAGCGUGCCACGUCUACAAGAACAUUACCAGUUCGUGUCAGCUGCUUCGCGGUCCAAUUAAAUAGGUUCCAUCUUCUUCUUCCUUCACUCCAACACAGUCGUGGGAGUCUCCAGCUCCACGCCAGCGAAAUUCACGAUUCAAAGGUAACCAUUUAUUCUCUGUUUUCGCUUUGUGUUUGCAGAACAAUGGCUAUCAUAAUCAGCACCAGUACAAUGGUUACCAACCUUUAGUGAAUCCACAUCCAAUGAUGAUGCCCAAUAUGCCAAUGCAUCCCCACUUCUUUAACAACCUCAAUAUCCCUCAACAGUUUCACCAGUUUGGUUUGCCUAACCAUAUCAACCAGUUACUUCCAAACUUAUUGGGGAAUCUUCUAGGUGGUCACUCACUCCCUCCUUUAGUUCAUCCCACUUUCUUCCAGCCUUCUCUUCUUGACCCUUUUGCUUUCACUUCUCAGCCACAGGGUAACUCCUUUAACUCCCUUCCGUAUCUUCCGGUUCCAACUCCACAUCAGAAUCACCAAAUGCAUCCUCCUGGUUUCUCAGAGCCAAGGCCACAGGUGACUCUUGUUGUCUCAUCUCUUUAGUUUUUACUUUGGUUAAUUAACUUUUGAGGCUUCUGCAGGUACAGUCUGUUGGAAAUGUCAACAACACCAAUGUAACUUCCAACUCAAAAGUUAAUGAUUUUGGAAAUAAAUAUACAAAACAACAAAAAUUCAAAGGCACUGGUCAAGGGUAAGUUCUUACUACUUUCUCACUUUUCAUUUAUUAGUUUUUUAUAGUCUUGGAUAUAUGUAUUGUGAGUUUUUGUAGAUUCCAGAAAUCUCAUUUGCAUCAAGCAGAUAAUCCAAAGAAAAAGUUUGGGUUUAAUAAGGAUCAAAUAGGCAAAAGGUUAGUUCUUUUUCCAUCGAAUUCACAUUUCUGUUUUGAAAUUAUAUACCUUUUAGUCAAAAUAGUAUAAACUUGGAGCUCUUUCAGUAUCCGUUGAAAAUGCCAAUUGUUACUACUGCAAAGAAUGGUGUUACCCCUACCGUUAUAAUGUUAGUUGAUAAAGUUAGCCUUAAAAUAUAAUUCUUUUGUAUCUCUUUAGAUUAUUUGGUUCCAGACAUCUUGUUUAUUUCAAGUUAGUAGUGUUGUUUUUGAUCUCUCUAUGUCUGACUUCAAUUGCAGGGAACAAGAAGAAGAUGGCAACUGAGCUCGAUGGAUCUGAUGCUGAUAACAUAGCUAAGGAAAAGAAAAGGUAGUGAUGCCAGGUCUAAUUAUCAUAGCACCUUGCUAUAUGUCUCACUGAAUCUCCUUUUGUUCAAUAAGCCAUUUACUCUCUUUUUUUUGCCUUUCACGCUCAUAAUGCAUUGUGAUCCAUAUAUAACUUUUAAUAUUGGUUAGGAUUAUUAUCUGGACUACAUCCUUUGUUAUCAUUUUUGUUCACGUUAAUGUCAGCUCUCAGCUAUCAGCUUUGUUUUGAUUUUUCUCCACGAGAAGGUCAUACGUUUGGACCUAUACUCCAAAGGAAAUUAACCAAUGGCGUGGAGCUCGGCGUAAGAAUUAUCCAACUAAACUCAAUUUUGAGAAGAAUGUAAAGGAAAAUGCUUCAGGCUGCUACCUUGACAAGGAAGCAAAAAUGGGUCGUCUGGAUGGCAAGAAGGGAAGAUUCCAGAAUAAGAGAGGUAGUAGUGGAAAAGACAAGUUUAGUAAAAAACCAAAAAUCCAAGACAAUAACUCAUCUCAAGAAUCUUCCAUAACAACGGAACAACCUACAUUGCUCGAGAAGCUCCUAAGCGCAGACAUAAAGAGAGACAAGAGUCAGUUAUUACAGGUCUUCCACGUCAUGGUAAUGAGUUCAUUCUUUAAGGAGUCGCCAGAGCAACCUCGGAAGUUGCCUUUGGUUAGGUAGAAGAGACUGGCUGUGAACAUGAUAAGGAUUAUCCCACAUCUGAAGUUUUAUCCGAUGAUGACCAUUGUGGUAAUGAUGUGGUUGUGAAUGGUGAUGAAGAUUCUGAUUGAUAAAUUGUAAGUUUUUUAAGUUCAAAUUUGUGAGAAGUCUUGAAGAUCAAUCUAUAUGUGCUGCUUUUUUGAAGGUUUGUAGUCAGGAGAAAAUAAUUAGACGAGUUCUAAUAAAUGAAUCAUUAGAGAGUGAUUUAUAAUAGAGAACGUUCGUAUAAAAUCUAUUUUUUUUUUUUUUUUUUGAACACGACUUACUUUCAUUAAACUUCAAUGUUUUUGGGUACAACCGUACAACCAGAGGGAAUCAAACAUCCUCUUUGAUUAAAAGCAUAAACUACAUAAGCAAACAAAGCUAAAAUAGAUAGGUCUUCAUGAGAAGAUGACAGCGAAUUCAAAGCAAAGCUUGAAUGCGUCGAUAAGAGCUUCACGACAAAGUCGGACAGCCGAAAAUUAGUCACAAGUGACGUUGAAACCCAGUUUUCAC